rnacentral:rRNA from 1 species
UACAGAGGUCUCAAGCGUUGCUCGGAAUCACUGGGCGUAAAGGGCGCGUAGGCGGCUGUUUAAGUCGGAGGUGAAAGCCCGUGGCUCAACCACGGAAUGGCCUUCGAUACUGGACGGCUUGAGACCGGAAGAGGACGGCGGAACUGCGAGUGUAGAGGUGAAAUUCGUAGAUAUUCGCAAGAACACCAGUGGCGAAGGCGGCUGUCUGGUCCGGUUCUGACGCUGAGGCGCGAAAGCGUGGGGAGCAAACAGG